CCCUAGCCCUGAUUGCAACGGAAAUCCUGCUGGCGUAACGCAGUGCAGACAGCAGAUUGCAGUGAAAAGCAGGAAAUAGC
rnacentral:sRNA from 1 species